AACGAACGCUGGCGGCAGGCUUAACACAUGCCAGUCGAGCGAGACCUUCGGGUCUAGCGGCGGACGGGUGAGUAACGCGUGGGAACGUGCCCUUCUCUACGGAAUAGCCCCGGGAAACUGGGAGUAAUACCGUAUACGCCCUUUGGGGGAAAGAUUUAUCGGAGAAGGAUCGGCCCGCGUUGGAUUAGGUAGUUGGUGGGGUAAUGGCCCACCACGCCGACGAUCCAUAGCUGGGUAGAGAGGAUGAUCAGCCACACUGGGACUGAGACACGGCCCAGACUCCUACGGGAGGCAGCAGUGGGGAAUCUUAGACAAUGGGGGCAACCCUGAUCUAGCCAUGCCGCGUGAGUGAUGAAGGCAUUAGGGUUGUAAAGCUCUUUCAGCUGGGAAGAUAAUGACGGUACCAGCAGAAGAAGCCCCGGCUAACUCCGUG
rnacentral:rRNA from 1 species